CGGCUCACCUAGGCGACGAUCCCUAGCUGGUCUGAGAGGAUGACCAGCCACACUGGAACUGAGACACGGUCCAGACUCCUACGGGAGGCAGCAGUGGGGGAAUAUUGCACAAUGGGCGCAAGCCUGAUGCAGCCAUGCCGCGUGUGUGAAGAAGGCUUCGGGUUGUAAAGCACUUUCAGCGGGGAGGAAGGCGGUGAGGUUAAUAACCUUGUCGAUUGACGUUACCCGCAGAAGAAGCACCGGCUAACUCCGUGCCAGCAGCCGCGGUAAUACGGAGGGUGCAAGCGUUAAUCGGAAUUACUGGGCGUAAAGCGCACGCAGGCGGUCUGUCAAGUCGGAUGUGAAAUCCCCGGGCUCAACCUGGGAACUGCAUUCGAAACUGGCAGGCUAGAGUCUUGUAGAGGGGGGUAGAAUUCCAGGUGUAGCGGUGAAAUGCGUAGAGAUCUGGAGGAAUACCGGUGGCGAAGGCGGCCCC
rnacentral:rRNA from 1 species